AUAAGCAAUUUUAUGAUAAUCGUAAAAAUAUUAUUAGAACACCUGAUGAGAUUCUAAAAUUUGUUAUAUAAAGGUCGAUAUGAACAAAUCUAGUUGAUUGCGAUGUCACUUGAUGUGAGUAAAGAUCACGUCCUCAAGAAAAUUAUGAACAAUUUGAAUUGGUCAGGUAAGGACACUAAUGUAUUUUGCUUAUUAUAUAUAUAU
rnacentral:lncRNA from 1 species